CCUACGGGUGGCUGCAGUGGGGAAUAUUGGACAAUGGGCGCAAGCCUGACCCAGCAACGCCGCGUGAAGGAAGAAGGCUCUCGGGUUGUAAACUUCUUUUAUCAGGGACGAAGCAAGUGACGGUACCUGAUGUAUAAGCCACGGCUAACUACGUGCCAGCAGCCGCGGUAAUACGUAGGUGGCAAGCGUUAUCCGGAUUUACUGGGUGCAAAGGGCGUGUAGGCGGGAAAGCAAGUCAGAUGUGAAAACCAUGGGCUCAACCUGUGGCCUGCAUUUGAAACUGUUUUGCUUGAGUGCUGGAGAGGCAGACGGAAUUCCUAGUGUAGCGGUGAAAUGCGUAGAUAUUAGGAGGAACACCAGUGGCGAAGGCGGUCUGCUGGACAGCAACUGACGCUGAGGCGCGAAAGCGUGGGGAGCAAACAGGAUUAGAUACCCGGGUAGUC
rnacentral:rRNA from 1 species